rnacentral:lncRNA from 1 species
UUGCUUUUUAGGCCUCCCUACUUGCUCCAAAACCCCCCAAAAAUCCCAAAGUACCCCUAAGUUUAGGUUCUAAUUCAGUUCGGUUUGUAUAACCCAAAUUCAAUUUUCGUUCGUAUUGCAGGACCCGAAAUAGCAUCUCCCAAAAACACUUUUGUCUACUGCUAACUCGCUUGCGUGUUCUUCAUCUUCAUCUUCCUUAGAUUCGGUUUCUAUAGACCGAAAACGCUUGGAUUCGGUUUCUAUCUACCGAAAACCCUUUGAUUCGGUUUCUAUCUACCGAAAAUCCUUCGAUUCGGUUUCUAUCCCUUUGAUUCGGUUUCUAUCUACCGAAAAUCCUUCGAUUCGGUUUCUAUCUUCCGAAAACGCUUUGAUUCGGUUUCUAUCUUCCGAAAACACUUUAGAAGUCCAUGAAUUUGCGAUUUGUUUUCCAUGAAUUUGGGUUUUCCAUUAAUUUAGAGCUUUCUUCAGAAGUCAGAUUGUGAACAUAUUUGGUUUCAGAUCAUGUUACUAUGAACUUCGCCAAAAGUGGAGNNN